AGGUGUCUUGUUGGCCAUAGAUCUCAUAAGCGACCAUGUUCUGGUUGGGGUUUUCUACUUCAUUGGUUUUGGAUUGUUCUGCUUUGAGACUGUUCUGAGCCUUUGGGUUAUACAGCAAGUAUAUAUGUACUUCCGACGCAGCGGCG